rnacentral:rRNA from 1 species
UACGGAGGGCGCGAGCGUUGUCCGGAAUCACUGGGCGUAAAGCGCGUGUAGGCGGCUUGGUAAGUCCGCUCUGAAAGCCCGGGGCUCAACCCCGGGAGGCGGGUGGAUACUGUCAAGCUCGAGUCCGGAAGAGGCGAGUGGAAUUCCUGGUGUAGCGGUGAAAUGCGCAGAUAUCAGGAGGAACACCAAUGGCGAAGGCAGCUCGCUGGGACGUGACUGACGCUGAGACGCGAAAGCGUGGGGAGCAAACAGG